rnacentral:rRNA from 1 species
UCUCCUACGGGAGGCAGCAGUGGGGAAUAUUGCACAAUGGGCGGAAGCCUGACGCAGCGACCCCGCGUGAGGGAAGACGGCCUUCCGGUUGUAAACCUCUUUCAGUAGGGAAGAAGCGAAAGUGACGGUACCUGCAGAAGAAGCCCCGGCUAACUACGUGCCAGCAGCCGCGGUAAUACGUAGGGCGCAAGCGUUAUCCGGAAUUAUUGGGCGUAAAGAGCUCGUAGGCGGUUUGUCGCGUCUGCCGUGAAAGUCCGGGGCUCAACUCCGGAUCUGCGUUGGAUACGGGCAGACUAGAGUCCGGUAGAGGAGACUGGAAUUCCUGGUGUAGCGGUGAAAUUCGCAGAUAUCAGGAGGAACACCGAUGGCGAAGGCAGCUCUCUGGGCAUUAACUGACGCUGAGGAGCGAAAGCAUGGGGAACGAACAGGAUUAGAUACCCUGGUAG